rnacentral:rRNA from 1 species
UACGGGGGGGGGCAAGCGUUGUUCGGAAUUACUGGGCGUAAAGGGCUCGUAGGCGGCCAACUAAGUCGGAUGUGAAAUCCCCAGGCUUAACCUGGGAACUUGCAUCCGAUACUGGAUGGCUUGAAUCCGGGAGAGGGAUGCAGAAUUCCAGGUGUAGCGGUGAAAUGCGUAGAUAUCUGGAGGAAUACCGGUGGCGAAGGCGGCAUCCUGGACCGGCAUUGACGCUGAGGAGGCGAAAAGCUAGGGGAGCAAACGGG